GGGCAAUGGUGAAGUGGUAGAGCAUUUGCCUUGCAUGCAGAAGGUUCCAGGUUCUAUUCCUGGCAUCUUCA